GACCCAGUGGCGGACGGUCCGCGUCUGCUUUUGUUGUAAGAUGGUGAAAGUGAGCAGCAGAAGGUGCCCGUUCGACUCGGGCCCGGGUCA